rnacentral:lncRNA from 1 species
AGGGAGUGAUUUUUUUGAAAUUUAAGAAGUGGGAGGAGAUGAAGAGACUAUCCUAGACAAAAAUUAAAAGUUAAAGGUUGAAAAGAUCUAACCAAUGGGAUGCAAUCCAAAAGAGAAGAAUGUCAUAUAGAAACCCAUUUUCCUUUGGACUUUAGUAGGCCACAAGCAUAAACAAUAUCCAAGCAAUUAUAUUAAGGCCACGACAUCAAAUAAAGAUAGCCAGAAUAUCCAAGCAAGCAACUCCAAUAGCUAGGAGUCUUCAACUUCU